UGUUUUUAUACGACCGCAAAAUUUGAAAAAAUUUUCGUCGUAUAUUGCUAUCACGUUGGCGUCGUCGUCGUCGUCGUCGUCCGAAUACUUUUAGUUUUCGCACUCUAACUUUAGAUUAAGUUAAUAGAAAUCUAUGAAAUUUUGACACAAGGUUUAUGACCACAAAAGAACGGUUGGGAUUGAUUUGGGAGUUUUGGUUUCAACAGUUUAGGAAUUAGGGGCCAAAAAAGGGCCCAAAUAAGCAUUGUUCUUGGUUUUCGCACAAUAACUUUAGUUUAAGUAAAUAGAAAUCAAUGAAAUUUAAACACAAUGUUAAUGACUACAAAAGGAAGGUUGGUAUUGAUUUUGGGAGUUUAGGUCCCAACAGUUUAGGAAUUAGGGGCCAAAAAGGGACCCAAAUAAGCAUUUUUCUUGGUUUUCGCACCAUAACGUUAGUAUAAGUAAAUAGAAAUCUAUGAAAUUUAAACACAAGA
rnacentral:lncRNA from 1 species